UGUAUGCUACAGCUGCAAAAUUCUGUGUAAGUCAAUCCUAGGCGAGUUCUGUAUUGUUAGCCUUUGUGGUGACUGCUACACGAUCCUGAAAGAAACAAGGAGAAUAUAGCUCUUAACUGAAGCAAAUAGGAUUUCGUCAAGGUUGUGCCUCAAUAUCAUGGAUGCGCCUAUGCAUGUCAAUUUUUCUAACGAGAUGAUUUCUGCUCUUGGGCUAGCGGAUAGGGU